rnacentral:rRNA from 1 species
GCAAGUCGAACGAGAAAGUACCUUCGGGUGCGAGUAGAGUGGCGCACGGGUGAGUAACACGUAGGUGACCUGCCGUUUGGAGGGGGAUAACACGGAGAAAUUCGUGCUAAUACCGCGUAAGCACUACAACUUUGAAAGGAGUAGUGGAUAGGAUGCUUCGGCAUUCACCGAACGAUGGGCCUGCGUAGCAUUAGCUUGAUGGUGGGGUAAUGGCCUACCAUGGCUACGAUGCUUAGCUGGUCUGAGAGGAUGAUC